CCGGUAGCUCAGUUGGAUAGAGCAUCUGGCUACGAACCAGGAGGUCGGGGGUUCGAAUCCUCCCCGGU
rnacentral:tRNA from 1 species